GCGAGAUUGAAUUCUGAAUAUGCAGAAAUAUAUAUGUUGUUCAAUAUCAGAACAAGUAGAGCUGUUACAUUUAAGUUCGAUGGAUCAGAAGAAAGCGAGCUUAAGAGAGAUGGGUCUCCAAUCUUGUUCCCAUGUUAAAUCCUAAGGAUGUGCUAAAUCAAGGAACUUCGUAAAAAGAAGAAAGGGUGAAGAGAAAAACCUGGCCUGCAACAACAGAAGAAGUAGAGCUGUUAUUUGGACUCAUUGACAUUAAAGUUAUUUCUAGGUCAUUGAGGACCAUAUGGAUUAGCAAAGAACAGUUGCUUUGGUGCGCAGAGAAUAUGAGCAACGUAUCAAAAGCAAGCUUAAGAGAUAUGGGUCUCCAAUCUUGUUCCCUUGUUAAAUCCAAAGGUACCUAACUUUGCAUUUCUGGUUUUCAGAAUUCCUUUUCUAAUUCGAGGUUAUAGUGAACAUAUACAGCAUCCCGGCCGGAGUAUAAAAAAUAUGAAUAUAUAGAACUAAAUAAUAUGUAAAGUUGAUAUCAGUUUUGGCAAUUUGUUGGUUGCUACAGUCGUCUAAGUAUAUAAUGCCAUUUUAUGUUUAUUUGUUGGUUGUUACAGUCAGUCUAAGUUAACCAAAUAGGGAAUAGAGCAAUUUUUUUAAAUAAAGAGGAUAAUAUAUUAAGAGUUAAAAGUCAUAAAAUUUAAUUUUGGGGUCCUGUUUAACUUUUAUAUCAAAAAAAUAAUAAAAAAAAAUAAAAAUAGAAAAAAAAAAAAAAAAAAAAAAAAGGAAAUC